CUGGUCUCAAGGCUCUUGAGUUUGCUAUCUCCAUUUGUGACACUGUCGACAUGUAUGGUUUCACUAUUGAUCCAGGUUAUAAGGAAUGGACAAGGUAUUUCUCGGAGUCUCGAAAAGGUCAUACUCCAGUACAGGGUAGGGCUGACUACCAGAUGAUGGAGUGUUUAGGAGUAAGUUUAUGGCUUCUGUAUUCUUUUAUGCUGAAUUUUGUAUCUUGCUCGAACAAAUUUAACAAAUUCAAUAUAGUUGUAAGAAUUGAAAAUAUAAUAUAAUAAAAUAAAAAUGUUUUGCUUGAACAAUAACCACUCAGAGGUAGAUAAAAAUAUUUGGUUUGAUGUUUCUGAUGAUAUCACUGACAUCCCCUACAGACCUAUGGCUUUUGAAAUAUACUCUGAAAUUUGAACUGUCUCGAGGUUUGGGUAUUGGGCAUCAUUUUCAUCUGCUAUUUGAGAAUGGGUCAAUUUAUAUUGAAACAGUGAAACUCUUAGUUUGAAUUUUAUUUUAAGUGGAUAUAUUAUCACGUAGAGAAAAAAAAAACCUUGAUUAGGGAAGUCUAUUGCUGUAAAAAAAUCUAGGUGAAGGUUUCUAGUACCAAAUCCAUUUUACAUCUAAUCUCUAGGUGAUUUCAAGUUUAUUAUAUUUUUAUGGCAUGUCUAGUUUGCUAAAGGAGAUCUUGCUUCACCGGUACUUCAGCAAGGUAUUCUAAUACUUCCGGUCUACCAAUAAGGUGGCUUCCUCUUUCUUCUCCUUUUAAGUCAUAAUUUGUAUAUUUCUCUGUUUGUUGUUUUCACAUAAUGUCCAUUUAUCUUUUUUCUUUUUAUUGGGACAUGCAGGGGUAUAGUUCUUUUGGAGAGUCUUCCCAAAAUUUUAUUGUUUAUUGUUUAUUGAUAUACUCUUAUAUUUAUUUAUUUUUGUUUUUCCUGUUUUAACAGAUUUUAAAUACCUCAAAAGGGUCAAUUCAAUACCCUACGUCCACCACCCAUAUGCUGCAGAAAUUUUUCACGCAACUAGUAAAUGACUCGUUUCUAUAUCUAUUAAAUACACAUAUACAGUCUGAUAUCAGAGAAGUAUUAGAUUAAGACACCAAUAUCAAAGCAAAACAAAUAUAUGGUAACAAUGUGGGCAAUCAAUCUGUGUGUUGGUUGCACAUUAGAAGUUCAUGAAGCUUGACAUGGGAGGUAGGGACGCAAAAGGGGGUUCAGUCAUGGUGUGUAAGGGGGAGGAGCUAGUGGAGGUGCAGUAGAUGUGAGUGUUGAAGUGAUUGUGCAGUGGGUGGCUGCUUGAGGAGAGCAAGAGAGACAGAGACGGGUGGGAUGGGGCUGAUCGAAGGUGGUACACUGCCAGUCAUGGGAAAAGCUAGGUUGAUGGGUGACCCAGAAAAAGAAAAGAAAAAUAGGAAAGGACGAGAAGAAAAAUAAGGGAAUGAAAGAGUGGGUGCUAAUAUAAUGGUUGGGUGGAAAGGAGUACAGAGAAAUAAUAUAAUGGCAAAACUUGUAAGACUUAGUAUAUUUUAUUCAAACCCAGGAAGAUCAGUGUUAUUUACCCAAAAGAAAACAAAGAUUCCUGUGUUUCAUUUAUCAUGCUAUACUACACAAAGAUUCCUGUGUUUCAUUUAUCAUGCUAUACUAUACAUGGACCUCUGCUUAGGUACAUCUGUUAAAGAUAGUAGAUAGUCUGUCAGGGAAACCAAAACUACAAACUUCUGAUAUUGAAACCAGUCUUCAGUCGUAUCGAAGCAUGUGUUUUCUUUUUAAAAUUAGGAUCCGUGUUUUGUUUGUGUUUUGUUUGCGUUAAUAAACAAAAAUCAGACUAUAAAACAGGAGAAGAUGAAUUGAGAAUAGUACUCAACCCUUUUGAAGGGCAGAAGAAAUGAAGCCAUAACAAAGUAGAAACACUAACUGUAUUAUGUCAACCAAAACAAA